CUGGGUCAUGGCUGCCUAAAAUGCAUCCAAACAUUCAGUGUCUUCUCCCUCUGCAUGCAGACACUGAACUUUCCUCAUAGAGAUUCAUUGAUUCAAUUCUGAUUGGCCAGGGCUGUGUUUGAAUCAUGCUGGCUCUGCCCCUGAAAUGCCUCUUUGUCAGUCUCAGCCAAUCCUAUGGGGAAGCACUGUGAUUGGAUUAGGCCAUCACUUCUAAU